rnacentral:rRNA from 1 species
GACGAACGCUGGCGGCGUGCUUAACACAUGCAAGUCGAACGAAGAGCGACGGAAGCUUGCUUCUAUCAAUCUUAGUGGCGAAUGGGUGAGUAACGCGUAAUCAACCUGCCCUUCAGAGGGGGACAACAGUUGGAAACGACUGCUAAUACCGCAUACGAUCUAACCUCGGCAUCGAGGAUAGAUGAAAGGUGGCCUCUACAUGUAAGCUAUCACUGAAGGAGGGGAUUGCGUCUGAUUAGCUAGUUGGAGGGGUAACGGCCCACCAAGGCGAUGAUCAGUAGCCGGUCUGAGAGGAUGAACGGCCACAAUGGGACUGAGACACGGCCCAGACUCCUACGGGAGGCAGCAGUAGGGAAUCUUCCGCAAUGGACGAAAGUCUGACGGAGCAACGCCGCGUGAGUGAUGACGGCCGUCGGGUUGUAAAGCUCUGUUAAUCGGGACGAAAGGCCUUCUUGCGAAUAGUGAGAAGGAUUGACGGUACCGGAAGAGAAAGCCACGGCUAACUACGUG